CGCUAUUUGUCUGCUGGACAAAGCACAUUUCUUUUAAUUUACAAAAGUGAUUUAAUGCACUGGGGGCUUUGAAAGAGACGAACUAAAUAUCAGCAAUGACAGAGAGAGCUGCAAAUUGCAGAUAGCAAGAAUCAUUGAAAGCGCUGCAGUUACACAAGUUCCCAGGCGUUUUCUUCAUUUUAGCCAAAUACACCAUGACAGGCAGUUUUGCAAAUUUGCAAUUUUAAGCAGCUACAUGUAGAAAAGCACUCAGAGUUUUCACGCAAAAUGGAUGAGAAUGUGUUGCUAUGUUUUUAUUUCGGUUGCCAGUGGUGUAAGAGCCAGAUAAAGAGGAUGAUGUGUUACUUCUACACCCAGUUCCAUUCCCAGAACACGCAGAACAUGCGUAACCCCUCUGCUUUGACAGAGGAUCUCUGGUGCUCUUGCCUGGAGGUUAUUGCCCCCCUUUGCUCUGCCCCAUGUGGAGUACUGUGUCCGGGCCUGGGGCCCCAGUACAAGGAGGAUGCAGAACUGUUGGCAUGGGUCCAGAGGAGGGCUGCAAAGAUGCUCAGAGGACUGGAGCAUCUCUCCUAUGAAGAAAGGUUGAGGGAGCUGGGCUUGUUUAGCUUGGGAGGAGAAGGUUCUGGGGAGACCACACUGAGGCCUUCCAGUGCUUGAAGGAGCUUCUAAGUACAAAGGAGAGCAACUCUGUACGUGGUCUAGUAGUGAUAGGACAAGAGGGAACGGCUUUAAAUUAAAGAAGAGAAAUUUAGAUUAGAUGUUUGAAUUAAAUUCUUUAUUCAGAGGGCAGUGAGAUGCUGGCACAGCUGCCCAGAGAAGCUGUGGUGCCCCAUCCCUGGAGGCGCUCAAGGCCAGGUUGGAUGGGGCCCUGGGUAGCUGAGCUGCUGGGGGGCAGCCCUGCCCAUGGGGGGACUGGGUGGGCUAUGAGGUCCCUUCCAGUACAAAACAUUCUAUGAUAUCUCUAUCAGCCUUGUCAGGAGAAUCUGUAGCAGAGGCAUCCGCGGAUCCACUUAAACUAAUUUGUGUGGCAAUUUUCAA
ensembl:lncRNA